UUCUUUCUCAGAAGUUGCAUCGAUGAUGGAUGGUGCCGGCUUUUUAACGGUGGGUGUUGGUCGAUAUAUUUUACAUGUAUUGAGGAGCAUAGGAUUGUACUGUGCGGUUGUUGCUGGAUCCGGUAAAUGUAAGUAAAUGGUAUACCUUUGGCUGGAGCUGCGUUAAAACUGUUUGGUGGUAACAGUCGUGAAGGUAUACCUUUGGCUGGAGCUGCGUUAAAACUGUUUGGUGGUAACAAUCGUGAAGGUAUACCUUUGGCUGGAGCUGCUUUAAAACUGUUUGGUGGUAACAAUCGUGAAGGUAAUGUACUGGUUGUUGCUGAAACAUAAAUGGUAUACCUUUGGCUGGAGCUGCGUUAAAACUGUUUGGUGGUAACAAUCGUGAAGGUAUUGCACUGGUUGUUGCUGAAACAUAAAUGGUACACCUUUAGUCGGUGCUGCAGUAACAUCGAUUCUGGGUGAUGUUUUGCUGGUUGGAGUAAUCGAAGCUGCCUGUAUCACAACUUUGUUGGGCCUGAUGGUAAGCUGCGGCAGUCUGGACCUUAAAGCUGACAACGUGCAACUUUUUAACGAUCGAUUCGUAUUUGCCGCUUCUCGAAACAUGUUUUCUACGAAAGAUGAGGAACACUGGCGCACACUCACUGGCAGAGGAACAACGGGACACUAAUUUUAAAUAAUAAAUCCAAAUUCACCGACGUAAUAUCACAAGGAAGCUUGAGCGUUAUUGUUUUAUUUUGUUUUGAUUUGCGCUGUCAUUGCGCCUUUGGCCUUUGACAGCUUGGAUCCGAAGAAAAUGGGUGAAAAAACG